rnacentral:sRNA from 1 species
UAAUAGCCCUGAUAGCAGUGGAAAUCCUUUUCCUUUUUUCUUUAAAAAGGAAAAGAUUGCAACGAAUAGCAGGAAAUAGC